GGGUCAGUAGGUUGGUCGUGCCACCGGUACGUACUGGUCUCGCUGAUUCCUCCUUCCUGAAGAACCGUAAUGCCAUUAAUCUGGUGUUGCGGGGAAACAGGACUGUUACUUUGAAAAAAUUAGAGUGUUUAAAGCAAGCUAACGCUUGAAUACAUUAGCAUGGAAUAAUGAAAUAGGACGAUCGAUCCUAUUUUGCUGGUUUCUAGGAUUGACGUA
rnacentral:rRNA from 1 species